CUUGACAAAGCCCUGGCUGGGUUGAUUUAGUUGGGAUUGGUCCUGCCUCGGGCAGGGGACUGGACUUGAUGACUCCUGAGGUCUCUUCCAGCUCUGUGAUUCUAUGAUUCUAAUACAGUCUAUAAAAAUUGAACCGAGGAGCCAAUCGUCAAUAACAGGCUGUGCCGGCAGAGACUGGCCUGGUAUGAUCCAUAAUUAAUGAUAUUUACAUAUUGGGUGCCAUCUGUAGGCUUCAGAGUUAACACCUCAUUGUGGUUAAUGGGGGAAGCUCAGAUCUCUCUCAGCACUGCUCUUGCAGUUUGUGGACCAAUGAGGCUGGAUGUUUCCGCGUCGCACUUUCAGAUGCACUAGCCAACCAUAAAAGUCAGGGUCAUUUAGUUUCUGGAGAAAAAGAUGGACCAGAGUGAGUGGAGUUUCUGAGCAAAGUGACUGGGAGGGAGUAUGGCGGAGUGGUGUGCGCUCUCUGCUGCAUACGGUGUAUUAUUAUCAGCACAAUGGGAUCCUGAGCUAUGGCUGGGGCUAAUUUAAAUAAAUAAUAUAACCAAGCAGCAAUGAGUUCCACAGGUUAAUUCUGUACAUGAGUGGAGUGGGGAGGUAUCACCUUGCCUCUGUUUCAGAUGCCUUUGUUUUUUCCAUUUGCGAUUAAGCCCCCGGGUUGCUCAGAUAUGAGUAAGAGGGUGUUGGCAGGAGGGUUGGUCCGAGCUAUCUCAAGUGUACCAAAAGAUAAAUAAAAUGGGAUUGGAUCCGAUAGGCCUGGAGUCAGUGCCACAACUGGUUUCUGUUCUCUUCCCCUUUGUCCGCUAAGUGCUCGAAAAAUGUUUGCUCGUGAUAUGAUUUAGUUUCAGCCUCGUCAAUGAUUAACAGGGUGAGCGCUUGCCCUGCAGGGCUUCGCCAGGCACAGCUCAGACGGAUACCGGGGUCUGGUCCGUCAUUCCGUACCAGGUCACAUGUGGUUGGGAGUAAAGGGGGGGGGCUUACAGGUGUGUGGGGAUGGGGGGAGCAGGGCUGCUCGUUUGGCGAAAUUUGGGUACCGCUGAGCCUGGGAAAAUUCACCUCCGGCCCGGCAGCCUUGCCUCACUUUGUCCCACCUACACCUAUGCCAAGGAAUCGAAGGAUUCUGGGAUGCUCAGCCAUGGGCGGCAUGGUUGCCAUGGCGUUGGGCUAGGCCUCUGCCCUGGGAGAAAUCACCCAAGGGCCCCAGAGCAGUGAAGCAUCUUCUGUCCACCUCCCCAGGGUGCCCCUGCCUCAGGGAACUGCACAGUGCAACACCCCCCAUGGGGGGGGGGUAUUAAUACAGCCAGGGGGUUAAUAGCAGGUGCCCCCUUUGUUCUGCUUGGGUUCUUGCCCUCCCCUCGUGCCUGCAGAAACCGGGUGCCUUCCAGUCAGGUCCUAAGUGAUGUGACUCACCCACGGCACAAGUGCUUCCUCCGCUGUCCCUUUUUCACAACGAGGGAUUAUGCCGGAGAAGGCAAAGCAGAGCCAGUUUGGGAGGAGCUCUCCGCCCUAGGGCAGAAUGGGACUGGCCCCCGAGGAAGCUCUGUCUCCUGCCCAGGCAAGCUCAAUGUUUGUGGCAGAGAGAUCCGCAGGCCAUGAGGGGCAGAGACGUCAACCUCCAUCCCCAGCCUAGAGCUUUUGGCACUUACAUUUCUUCGCACCGUGCACAGUUAACCUGCGGAACUCCUUGCCAGAGGACGUGGUGAAGGCCAGGACUUGAACAAGGCACUGAAUUCCUUAGUAUCCACAUAGGGCUGGUGUCAGGCAAUACAGGGCCCUGUGUGACCGGGCUGUAAAUUCCUAACUGAGAAGACAGAGACACCCUGGCCGGUCUGUUCCGCAUGCAAAGCCUGCUCCUGAGGGUGCCGUGCCCUGGUGGGGGCAUUCACCUCGCCCUGCCCAGGGACAAAGGCAGCUGGCAGGGAGGCGUGGUCCUGGCGUCCCUGCUGUGCCGUACGGGGCAGCCAGACAGGAAAAUGCGUCCAGGACGCGGUGUGCCCUGCGUAUGGGCUGGGGUGCGAUAAACGGGCGACCUUCGAGAGCAGAGUUAACAGCCGAAGCCGCGCGACUUGCAGGAGCAAGGCGAGAACAGCGUUCAAGGACGCGAGGGCGGGCGUCAUAGGCAGCGUGGCCUAGGGGUGAUAGCUGGAGGGGGGUGGCAUGCCAGGACGCCUGGGUUCUAUUCCUGACUCAGAAAUGAGACCCCCCCCCCCCCCUAGGAGUCAGAGCUGGGGGGGUGGGAUGAGGCACCCUGAUGCCUAGGUUCUAUUCACACAGCUCUAGCAGGGCAUGGCUAACAGGGCCGGCAGUGUUAAUGUGGCAGUUGUAGGCAGUGUUGCCUAGGGGUUAUAGCUGAAGAGAGGUGGGGAGUCAGGACUCCCGGGUGUAACAGGGCCGGCAGUGUUAAUGUGGCAGUUGUAGGCAGUGUUGCCUAGGGGUUAUAGCUGAAGAGAGGUGGGGAGUCAGGACUCCCGGGUGUAACAGGGCCGGCAGUGUUAAUGUGGCAGUUGUAGGCAGUGUUGCCUAGGGGUUAUAGCUGAAGAGAGGUGGGGAGUCAGGACUCCCGGGUGUAACAGGGCCGGCAGUGUUAAUGUGGCAGUUGUAGGCAGUGUUGCCUAGGGGUUAUAGCUGAAGAGAGGUGGGGAGUCAGGACUCCCGGGUGUAACAGGGCCGGCAGAGUUAAUGUGGCAGGCGUCAAAGGCGCAGUCAGGUCCGGAGGGAACAAGACAAGCGCUUCCCUGACUGGUCCUGCUGGUGGGAGUAGGGAUCCCCCCAGGACCAGCCGUAAGACCGUGUGCGGCUGUGUUGGUGCGGGAAGGGAGGUAGGAGGGGGCCUGACUAGCCAGGGAACGAAGCUCUUUCCUCCCAAGACCGCUCAGACAAGCAGCAGUUUCUCUCCCGGCAAGAGGCUCCACCAGAGAAGCCAGGAAGGAAAAAACCGCCGGCUUUGUAGGACUCAGUCUAAACAACCCACGCUCCCCCCCCACCCAUAUCCUUCACCGCUGGGAGCAGACGGGGCAGCAUCCCCCUCUGUGUCCGCACAUCACAAACCCAGCACCUCUCGGCCCGGGGGCCCCGCCCCGCGAUUGCUGGGUAAACUGAGGCAGGUCACCUCCCUGCUCUGUGCCUCAGUGUCACCCUCUGCAAAAGGGGGACAGUGGCCCUUGGCCUCCUCUGCAAAGCCCUUGGUGAUCAGCCACUCAGCAGUAGGUGGUAUCGGCGCAGCGGGCGUCUUUGCGUUCCCCUCGCUCCCAAAGGACGGGGGGGGAGGGGAGGGUCCAUUGAUACGUUAGUGAUUGGGAGGGUGCUGGGAUCCUAUGGCGCAGGGGGUCCGUAAGACAGAGGAGGAGAAUCCGGCCCUGCUGCCUGCACAAGAGCAAAGCCUGAGAGCACCGACGUGACCCGUUUCCCCUGGGAGGUUUCCUGAGUUCGGGGGGAAGCGUCUCCCGCAGGGAUCCCGGGCCGGCACAUCCUCCCUUUGUCGGUCCCAGGGACGUCCGGGGCAGCCGGGAUUUCGUGCAGGCGAGAACGAGCAAGAGCCUCUGGGAAUGCGAACUGGGGGGAGGGUCACCCACGUUAGCCUCUUUCCGCUCUGCCAGGGACUCUGCAGCGGCA